rnacentral:rRNA from 1 species
UAACGCGUGAGGAACCUGCCUUUCAGAGGGGGACAACAGUUGGAAACGACUGCUAAUACCGCAUGAAACAUUCGGAUCGCAUGGUUUGAAUGUCAAAGAUUUAUCGCUGAAAGAUGGCCUCGCGUCUGAUUAGCUAGUUGGUGAGGUAAAGGCUCACCAAGGCGACGAUCAGUAGCCGGACUGAGAGGUUGGCCGGCCACAUUGGGACUGAGACACGGCCCAGACUCCUACGGAAGGCAGCAG